GAGGCCGCCCAACAUAACCAUUUAGACCACGAUGGACAUGCGACGACGGAACAUACUUGAGAUGCCUUUUCUUUUGGAUCCGGCAACUCACAACACCUCCUGGUAAACAAUUCGGAUCAGGACCAAAAUCUUUUCUGAUUAGUAUUUUAAACGGUGUCCGAAACUUUCUAUUUAAUUUCCAGCGGGGAAAAAGUGUGUCGAGUGUCGUGUGUCCGAACCGUACUAUAAUUUAUGUGGAUCUAAGACUUUAAUUUAUAAGAACCCAGGUGUAUGUAUGUAGAAGGUAUUUUUUUAUGUGUAUAUAUGUUAACAUGUUUGUCUGCGACAGGUCUCCUGUUCGAUUCAGUAAAGUAACGCGUUCAUGAAACCUUUGCACGUGUAUAGGAAGCUUUUAGGAUUUUAAACAGCCUACAACCAGAAUGGUUGUGCCUAUUAGUAGUAAAAUAUGUAGUUGGACAGUUUAAAAAGUGGAACGUUGUAUAUGAAUGCGCGAAAAAUCACUCAAAAGUUUGGAGUUGUAAAUUUUUCAUAAAUUUAUUACUUAAAAUGUACAAACGAGUAGCGCUGGUUUAUUACUUUUUGCGACAAUGUUUAUACAUUCGUAUAUCUGUAAACGAAACAGCUCCACAUACUCGUUUUGUUCACGUUCCAAUUCGGUUGUAAUGCAUCUGAUCUGUUUGAGAUUGAAGUGUUGAUAUACAUUUGUAUUAUUAUUUUAGUACAUACGAUCGUAUAUUUAUUAAUAUUUGUAUUAACCUGCCGUUUCAGUUUACCAAAAACUUUUUUUGUACUUUUUGUUGGAAAUGUAUUGGAUGCUUAAUUGCAUUAGAAUAGUUAAAAUUGUACAUGAUAUUAUAUAGCUUUGUCGAAAGUACGGAAUCAGUGAAAAAGUGUAGUUUUUUUGUACCAUUUGAUUUGUGUUUAAAAAAUUUUUCUCAAGCUGGGCAUUUAAGACUGAAAAAAGUAUGAUUGUAUAGUUGUAAAUAUUUAUUUAGCGUAUUUUAACAUCUUAUUUCGAUGUAAUAUCAUUGUAUUUCCGUUUGAUUUUUAAAGCAAAAAUUUAUAUAUUUAAAAAAAUAAAAUUUAAGUAAUAUAUACUUA